UAUUGGCUUAGUUAGGAGGCGUAAAUCAAUUCUGAUCAUUCAAUACUUUCUGUAUUGUUUUGAUUCGUGGCUUCUUUGGUUUUUGUGGAGAAGCUUCUUUGUGUUUUCUUAAUUCAAAUCAAAGCUUCUUCCCCAAAAAGUUUCAGACAGAA